AAUUAAAUACCUAGCUUUUAUCUACUUACGUAGUGGAUUCCUUUGCCAUGCAUUUGACCUAAGGCUGAAAGAGCAGGAGAGUUCCAUGCAGUGUGACACAUGAACUUUAGAAAUUUUGGUAUGACAGAGUUGCCUGGGCUACAAACAGAAUAUAGUAAGUAAAAAAUAUCAACAGUAGCUCUAGAGGAGUGCUGUCCCAUAGAAAUAUGAUAUGAGCCAUAUAUGUAAUUUAAAUUUUUCUAGUAGCAGCUUGAUUUAAAAAAAUAAAGAGGUGAAAUUAAUUGUAAUAAUAUAUUUACCCCAGUAUGUCCAAAAUAUUAUAAUUUCAACCAGUAAUGUUUUUACAUACCUAUUUUUUUGUUUGUAUUAUCUUUGAAAUCCUGUGUAUAUUUUACAGUUAUAGCACAUCUCAAUUUACACUAGCCACAUUUCAGAUGCUCAGUAGCCACAUGUGGUUGCUAGAGGCUACUAUAUUGAACAACACAGUCUGUUAUCAUCUUGAUAUUCUUGUUGUAUAGAACUCUGUAUUGGGAAAAAGUUCACACAAAUUUCUUCUCCUUUCUAUGCUUGAAAAUCAAAGCCAAUGGAUAUGUACUUUCAUUACACUGCACAUGGUCAGUUUUGUAAAUAACAAUAUAAAUUUGCAAAUAUAAAAUAGCUGUAGUUUUAAUCUUCAAUAAUUUUUAAAAUAUAGUUUUUUGAAGUAUUAUUUGGAAAGUCAGUGUUUAGGAUAAUUUUCCAAUUCAUAUACCUCAUAAAUUACAACUCCAAUUUAGGUUGACUUUCUUCAGCAAGCUAAUAAAGACCUGGAGAAGCGUAUACGAGAGCUUAUGGAAACCAAGGAAACAGUGACAUCUGAAGUCGUUAAUUUAAGUAACAAAAAUGAAAAACUCUGCCAAGAAUUAACUGAAAUAGAUCAGUUAGCACAGCAGUUGGAAAGACAUAAAGAAGAAGUGCUUGAGACUGCUGAUAAAGAGCUUGGGGAAGCAAAGAAAGAGAUUAAAAGAAAGCUCUCUGAAAUGCGGGAUCUUGAAGAAACAAUGGCAAAACUUCAGCUGGAAUUGAACUUAUGCCAGAAAGAAAAGGAGAGACUGAGUGAUGAACUCCUUGUAAAAUCAGACCUAGAAACUGUUGUUCAUCAGCUUGAACAAGAAAAGCAAAGACUUAGCAAAAAAGUUGAAAGUUUUGCAGUUACAGAACGACAACUUACUCUGGAGGUUGAGAGGAUGAGACUAGAACAUGGAAUAAAACGUCGAGACAGGUCACCUUCUCGUUUAGAUACAUUUCUGAAAGGUAUAGAAGAAGAACGAGAUUAUUAUAAGAAAGAGCUAGAGAGACUCCAACAUAUAAUACAGCGAAGAUCUUGCUCUACAAGUUAUAGCGCACGUGAAAAAAGUUCAAUAUUUAGAACACCAGAAAAGGGUGAUUACAAUUCAGAAAUUCAUCAGAUCACAAGAGAAAGAGAUGAACUUCAGCGUAUGCUAGAAAGAUUUGAAAAAUAUAUGGAAGAUAUACAGUCCAAUGUUAAAUUAUUGACAGCAGAAAGAGAUAAACUAAGUGUCUUAUAUAAUGAAGCUCAGGAAGAAUUAUCUGCCCUAAGAAAAGAAUCCACCCAAACCACAGCACCCCAUAAUAUUGUUAGUCUUAUGGAAAAGGAAAAAGAACUUGCGUUAUCUGACUUAAGAAGAGUUAUGGCAGAAAAGGAAGCUUUAAGAGAAAAAUUAGAGCAUAUUGAAGAAGUGAGUCUUUUUGGAAAAUCAGAAUUAGAGAAAACUAUUGAACAUUUGACAUGUGUUAAUCAUCAGCUUGAAAGCGAAAAAUAUGAAUUAAAGUCUAAAGUGUUAAUAAUGAAAGAAACAAUAGAGUCGUUAGAGAACAAAUUAAAAGUCCAAGCUCAAAAAUUUAGCCAUGUGGCUGGUGACUCAUCUCAUCAGAAAACAGAGGUGAACUCACUUAGGAUAGUAAAUGAGCAGCUACAGCGGUCAGUUGAUGACUAUCAGCACCGACUUUCCAUAAAAAAAGGUGAACUUGAAUCAGCCCAAGCACAAAUUAAAAUACUGGAGGAAAAGAUAGGUAAAUGUUUUAAAAUUUUGUUUCUGCUAAUCCUAAUGUACUUUGUCUAACAAACAUUUCUUUUCAUUUGUAGAUGAACUAAACCUUAAGAUGACUUCACAGGAUGAGGAGGCUCAUGUAAUGAAAAAGACCAUUGGUGUUAUUGAUAAAGAAAAAGACUUUCUCCAGGAGACUGUAGAUGAGAAGACAGAAAAGAUUGCAAAUUUGCAAGAAAACCUAGCUAAUAAAGAAAAAGCUGUUGCUCAAAUGAAGCUAAUGAUCUCAGAGUGUGAAUCAUCUGUGAACCAGCUGAAAGAAACAUUGGUUAAUCGAGAUCAUGAGAUAAACAGCCUCCGGCGCCAGCUUGAUGCAGCUCACAAAGAACUCGAUGAAGUAGGAAGAUCUAGAGAAAUCGCUUUUAAGGAAAACAGAAGACUGCAAGAUGACCUGGCUACAAUGGCAAGAGAAAAUCAAGAAAUCUCAUUGGAAUUGGAAGCAUCAGUGCAAGAAAAAGAAGAAAUGAAGAGCAGAGUUCAUAAAUACAUAACAGAGGUGUCACGAUGGGAGAGCUUAAUGGCUGCCAAGGAAAAAGAAAAUCAAGAUUUGUUAGAUAGAUUUCAGAUGCUUCAUAACCGUGCUGAAGACUGGGAGGUCAAAGCCCAUCAAGCUGAGGGAGAAAGCAGCUCAGUUCGACUGGAACUUCUUUCUAUUGACACUGAGAGGAGACAUCUUCGAGAAAGAGUGGAGCUAUUAGAAAAAGAAAUUCAAGAGCACUUAAAUGCCCAUCAUGCUUAUGAAUCUCAGAUCUCAUCAAUGGCAAAAGCCAUGUCUCGAUUAGAAGAAGAGCUGAGACAUCAAGAAGAUGAGAAAGCAACAGUAUUAAAUGACUUGUCAUCUCUUAGAGAACUUUGCAUUAAACUUGAUUCAGGCAAAGAUAUUAUGACCCAGCAAUUGAAUUCGAAAAACCUUGAGUUUGAGAGGGUUGUGGUGGAAUUAGAAAAUGUAAAGUCAGAGUCAGACCUACUGAAAAAACAACUGUCAAAUGAGAGACAUACAGUUAAAAACCUCGAAUCAUUGUUGGCUACAAACAGAGAUAAAGAAUUUCAUUCUCACUUAACCUCCCACGAGAAGGAUACAGAAAUCCAGCUACUUAAGGAGAAGUUAACCCUUUCUGAAAGCAAAUUAACUAGUCAAAGCCGGGAAAACACCAUGCUUCGAGCUAAAGUGGCACAGUUACAAACAGAUUAUGAUGCUCUGAAAAGGCAGAUCUCAACUGAAAGAUACGAACGAGAACGAGCAAUCCAAGAGAUGCGUCGACAUGGUCUUGCUACACCACCCCUUAGUUCCACUCUGAGGUCUCCUUCACAUUCUCCUGAACAUAGAAAUGUGUAAUUAUCAGAAAGAAUAAUGGCUUUCAAUGAGUUCCUAUGUGGAUUUUUAAAAUAACAGAACAGUAAUGAAAUAUUUGAAGUACUUGUUGCUGAAAAUCAUGAACAUGGACACAAAUUCUACCUCUGUCAACUUUUACUUAAAUCAGUGAAUAUGUUAAAAAGUUUGGUUUAAAAGAACUAUAUCUAUAUGUAUAUUUUCAUAUAUAUGACAGAACAAGAAUAUGUAUUAAUAGUGCCUAAUGUAUCUAUAUUUUUAUUAUUCAUGAAUUAAAUUACUAAAAGUAUGUUUAUACUGUGAAUUAAUAUAAUGUAUUCACAUUAUUCUUUAAUAAUCUGUUUAUUAAUAAGCCAUGAUAUAUGUAUGUAAAUAUUCUUACAGUACUUGUUUUUAGUUGUCAUGCCUAUGUUUAGACCAUAUCUUAAUGUAUUCACAAAGAAUUAUCAACUUUGAUGCUAUGCUGUCAUGCUUAACUUUUUCUUCUUAAAAUUAUUCAUAGAUCUACUGUCUGUUGUCAAGGGGAAUAUAUUCAGGUCUAGUCUUAUAAUAGCAGAGGUCUUGGUAAAAUAACUACCAUAUAUAACGUGUUAUUGCCAUCUAGAAGAACUAUGAUGAGAAAGAUACAUUUAUAUAUUAUGUAAAAUGUUAACUGUCAUCAUAUGGACUCUAUGUAACACAAAUUCUAUCAAAAGCAAACUAAAAGCUAUAUGCAGAGUUUUGUAUAAAACAAUAGAACAGAAAUUUGGGACAUUUUUCUAGGAAAUAAAAUUCCUCGGUGUAUUAAUCUAAGGUUUCAAAGUAUAAAAGUAUAUGGGGUAGGCCGGGUGCAGUGGCUCACGCCUGUAAUCCCAGCACUUUGGGAGGCCGAGGCGAGUGGAUUUCCUAAGGUCAGGAGUUUGAGACCAGCCUGAGCAAUGUGGUGAAACCCCAUCUCUACUAAAAAUACAAAAAUUAUCUGGGCUUGGUGGCGGGCACCUGUAAUCCCAGCUGCUUGGGAGGCUGAGGCAGGAGAAUUGCUUGAACCCGGGAGGUGGAGGCUGUGGUGAGCCAAGAUCAUGCCAUUGCACUCCAGCCUGGGUGACAGAGUAACACUCUGUCUCAGAAAAAAAAAAAGAAAAGUAUAUGGGGUAAAUACAGUAAAACGUUUUGUUAAAUUCCAAUAUACAUUCAGUGAUACCACUCUUUUUCUUCUAAGCCUGUGUGUUAUAAUUUACCAGUUCCCCAAAAUGCCAUUUUUAACGCCGAACUGUGUAAUAUACAUGGAAAACAGCUUUUUACAAUUAAUUUUCAAAGUUGUAAUUUUAAAGAAUUUGGGUGUAUACCUAUGUUAAUGAAACAACAGAAGUACAAAAAAGAAUAUCAGAUACAAAAAUCAAUUGUGAAGAAAAUCUGUUCUUAAUAUAUUUCAUUAUGAUUGAAAAACAUAAAAACUAACAUAGGAAAGUGAAUGAUCAGUUACUUAUGAUAUAUUUUGUUUCCUCUUGUGGUUUAAUAAAGUGAAGUGUGUGUGUGUGUGUAUACCUAGGGGUGGGCAGUGCUCUUUUUCUAAAACUAAUAUGGCUUAUAUAUCUGAAUUAUGCCCUUUUUAGUGUGUAUUAGGAUGUGGGCUGGUUUGCUUUUCUACCACCUUUGUAAUUUUAUGUAUCCCAUCUCCUUUGUGUGAAUUCAUAUAUUAUAGCAAAAUACAAGAGACAUGGGACUGUUUGCAAUACCAUAUGGAAAUCUUUUAAUAAAUAUAUGUAAAUAAAAU
rnacentral:sRNA from 1 species